rnacentral:rRNA from 1 species
AGAGUUUGAUCAUGGCUCAGAACGAACGCUGGCGGCAGGCCUAACACAUGCAAGUCGAACGAGCUGGGACCUUCGGGUCCCGAUGCUAGUGGCGCACGGGUGAGUAACACGUGGGAAUCUACCCAAUAGUACGGAAUAACUGAGGGAAACUUUGGCUAAUACCGUAUACGCCCUUCGGGGGAAAGAUUUAUCGCUAUUGGAUGAGCCCGCGUCUGAUUAGGUAGUUGGUGAGGUAACGGCUCACCAAGCCGACGAUCAGUAGCUGGUCUGAGAGGAUGAUCAGCCACACUGGGACUGAGACACGGCCCAGACUCCUACGGGAGGCAGCAGUGGGGAAUAUUGGACAAUGGGCGCAAGCCUGAUCCAGCCAUGCCGCGUGAGUGAAGAAGGCCUUCGGGUUGUAAAGCUCUUUCGACGGGGACGAUGAUGACGGUACCCGUAUAAGAAGCCCCGGCAAACUUCGUGCCAGCAGCCGCGGUAAUACGAAGGGGGCUAGCGUUGUUCGGAGUUACUGGGCGUAAAGCGAACGUAGGCGGUGUUCCAUGUCAGAGGUGAAAGCCUGGGGCUCAACUCCAGAAUUGCCUUUGAAACGGGGACGCUUGAGUCCGAGAGAGGAUGGCGGAAUUCCUAGUGUAGAGGUGAAAUUCGUAGAUAUUAGGAAGAACACCGGGCGAAGGCGGCCAUCUGGCUCGGUACUGACGCUCAGGUUCGAAAGCGUGGGGAGCAAACAGGAUUAGAUACCCUAGUAGUCC